rnacentral:rRNA from 1 species
UGAACGCUGGCGGCAUGGUUAAAACAUGCAAGUCGAACGCGAAAGGGGGCAACCCCAAGUAGAGUGGCGAAAGGGCGAGUAAUGCGUUUCUAACGUACCCUGAGCACGGGGAUAGCUCGCCGAAAGGCGAAUUAAUACCCGAUGAUGCUGGUGGACUGCAUGGUCUGCCUGCCAAAGUAGCAAUACGGCUCAGGAGCGGGGAACGUCCUAUCAGGUAGUUGGUGAGGUAACGGCUCACCAAGCCUAAGACGGGUAGCGGGUGUGAGAGCACGGCCCGCCGCAUCGGGACUGAGACACUGCCCGGACUCCUACGGGAGGCUGCAGUAACGAAUAUUCCGCAAUGCGCGAAAGCGUGACGGAGCGAUGCCGCGUGGAGGAUGAAGCCCCUCGGGGGUGUAAACUCCUGUCAGGGUUUAACAACUCAAUGAGCAGACCCAGAGGAAGAGACGGCUAACUCUGUGCCAGCAG